UGUAUUUAUUAGAUUAAAAACCAAUGCCCUCCGGGGCUCACUGGUGAUUCAUGAUAACUUCUCGAAUCGCAUGGCCUUGCGCCGGCGAUGGUUCAUUCAAAUUUCUUCCCUAUCAACUUUCGAUGUUUGGGUAUUGGCCAAACAUGGUUGCAACGGGUAACGGAGGGUUAGGGCUCGACCCCGGAGAAGGAGCCUGAGAAACGGCUACUACAUCCAAGGAAGGCAGCAGGCGCGCAAAUUACCCAAUCCCGACUCGGGGAGGUAGUGACAAUAAAUACUGAUACAGGGCUCUUUUGGGUCUUGUAAUUGGAAUGAGUACAAUUUAAAUCCCUUAACGAGGAACAAUUGGAGGGCAAGUCUGGUGCCAGCAGCCGCGGUAAUUCCAGCUCCAAUAGCGUAUAUUAAAGUUGUUGUGGUUAAAAAGCUCGUAGUUGAACCUUGGGCCUGGCUGGCCGGUCCGCCUCACCGCGUGUACUGGUCCGGCCGGGCCUUUCCCUCUGUGGAACCCCAUGCCCUUCACUGGGUGUGGCGGGGAA
rnacentral:rRNA from 1 species